rnacentral:rRNA from 1 species
CAACUUUCAGCAACGGAUCUCUUGGCUCUCCCAUCGAUGAAGAACGCAGCGAAAUGCGAUAAGUAAUGUGAAUUGCAGAAUUCAGUGAAUCAUCGAAUCUUUGAACGCACCUUGCGCCCUUUGGCAUUCCGAAGGGCAUGCCUGUUUGAGUGUCAUUAA